AUUGAACGCUGGCGGCAGGCCUAACACAUGCAAGUCGAGCGGAUGAGUGGAGCUUGCUCCAUGAUUCAGCGGCGGACGGGUGAGUAAUGCCUAGGAAUCUGCCUGGUAGUGGGGGACAACGUUUCGAAAGGAACGCUAAUACCGCAUACGUCCUACGGGAGAAAGUGGGGGAUCUUCGGACCUCACGCUACCAGAUGAGCCUAGGUCGGAUUAGCUAGUUGGUGAGGUAAAGGCUCACCAAGGCGACGAUCCGUAACUGGUCUGAGAGGAUGAUCAGUCACACUGGAACUGAGACACGGUCCAGACUCCUACGGGAGGCAGCAGUGGGGAAUAUUGGACAAUGGGCGAAAGCCUGAUCCAGCCAUGCCGCGUGUGUGAAGAAGGUCUUCGGAUUGUAAAGCACUUUAAGUUGGGAGGAAGGGCAGUAAGUUAAUACCUUGCUGUUUUGACGUUACCAACAGAAUAAGCACCGGCUAACUUCGUGCCAGCCGCCGCUGUAAGAC
rnacentral:rRNA from 1 species